CUGAUAGUAGGAUGAGGCUGAAGAGUGUAGGCUGAGUGCAGGAGCUGUAGGUGUCCAGCAUACUGAGUUUCUCAUGGAGAUCCAGAAAGGAACCACACACUGAAGACCUCCAAAAAAGUCAGGAAUGUCCCAGGUCUUACUGCUCAGUUCUUGAGUAAUCAUUCGGAUUUGAGGUUAGUAAUUUUCUGCUAUCUCAUGUUCAUCAGGAGAAAUGUAUCUUAUUUGUUCUUCCCAUUUCCC
rnacentral:lncRNA from 1 species